rnacentral:rRNA from 1 species
CAGCCGCCGCGGGAAUACGUAGGUGGCAAGCGUUGUCCGGAAUUAUUGGGCGUAAAGGGCUCGCAGGCGGUUUCUUAAGUCUGAUGUGAAAGCCCCCGGCUCAACCGGGGAGGGUCAUUGGAAACUGGGAAACUUGAGUGCAGAAGAGGAGAGUGGAAUUCCACGUGUAGCGGUGAAAUGCGUAGAGAUGUGGAGGAACACCAGUGGCGAAGGCGACUCUCUGGUCCGUAACUGACGCUGAGACGCGAAAGCCAGGGGAGCGAACGGGAUUAGAUACCCCCGUAGUCCCUGUCUCUUAUAC